rnacentral:rRNA from 1 species
CGGAGGAUCCAAGCGUUAUCCGGAAUCAUUGGGUUUAAAGGGUCCGUAGGCGGUUUGAUAAGUCAGUGGUGAAAGCCCAUCGCUCAACGAUGGAACGGCCAUUGAUACUGUCAGACUUGAAUUACUGGGAAGUAACUAGAAUAUGUAGUGUAGCGGUGAAAUGCUUAGAUAUUACAUGGAAUACCAAUUGCGAAGGCAGGUUACUACCAGUGGAUUGACGCUGAUGGACGAAAGCGUGGGGAGCGAACAGGAUUAGAUACCCUGGUAGUCCACGCCGCAAACGAUGGAUACUAGCUGUUCGGAGCAAUCUGAGUGGCUAAGCGAAAGUGAUAAGUAUCCCACCUGGGGAGUACGUUCGCAAGAAUG